rnacentral:rRNA from 1 species
CCUACGGGAGGCAGCAGUGAGGAAUAUUGGUCAAUGGACGCAAGUCUGAACCAGCCAUGCCGCGUGCAGGAAGACGGCUCUAUGAGUUGUAAACUGCUGUUGUACGAGGGUAAACGCAGAUACGUGUAGCGGUCUGAAAGUAUCGUACGAAUAAGGAUCGGCUAACUCCGUGCCAGCAGCCGCGGUAAUACGGAGGAUUCAAGCGUUAUCCGGAUUUAUUGGGUUUAAAGGGUGCGUAGGCGGUCUGAUAAGUUAGAGGUAAAAUCCCGCGGCUCAACUUCGGAAUUGCCUCUGAUACUGUUCGGCUUGAGCGUAGUUGCGGUAGGCGGAAUGUAUGGUGUAGCGGUGAAAUGCUUAGAUAUCAUACAGAACCCCGAUUGCGAAGGCAGCUUACCAAGCUACUUCUGACGUUGAGGCACGAAAGCGUGGGUAUCAAACAGGAUUAGAUACCCUUGUAGUC